rnacentral:rRNA from 1 species
AUUGAACGCUGGUGGCGUGCUUAACACAUGCAAGUCGUGCGAGAACAGUUCCUUCGGGAACCUAGUAGAGCGGCGCACGGGUGAGUAACGCGUGGAUAAUCUACCCAGAAGAUCGGGAUAACAGUUGGAAACGACUGCUAAUACCGGAUACGCUUCAUAUUUGACUUUAUGAGGGAAAGGUGGCCUCUGUUUCAAGCUAUCACUUUUGGAUGAGUCCGCGUUUCAUUAGCUAGUUGGUAAGGUAACGGCUUACCAAGGCGACGAUGAAUAGCUGGUCUGAGAGGAUGACCAGCCACACUGGGACUGGAACACGGCCCAGACUCCUACGGGAGGCAGCAGUGGGGAAUAUUGCGCAAUGGGGGAAACCCUGACGCAGCGACGCCAUGUGAGGGACGAAGGCUUUCGGGUCGUAAACCUCUGUCAGGAGGGAAGAAACUGUUUGAUGCUAAUACCAUCUUUCACUGACGGUACCUCCAGAGGAAGCACCGGCU